rnacentral:rRNA from 1 species
CCUACGGGGGGCAGCAGUGGGGAAUCUUGCGCAAUGGGCGAAAGCCUGACGCAGCGACGCCGCGUGGGGGAUGAAGCUUCUCGGAGUGUAAACCCCUUUCGACCGGGACGAAUACCUCGCAAGAGGGGUGACGGUACCGGUAUAAGAAGCCCCGGCUAACUACGUGCCAGCAGCCGCGGUAAGACGUAGGGGGCCAGCGUUGUUCGGAAUUACUGGGUGUAAAGGGUUCGUAGGCGGUGUGGCAAGUCGGGAGUGAAAUCUCUGGGCUCAACUCAGGGGCUGCUUCCGAAACUGCUGUGCUGGAGUGUGGGAGAGGCGCGUGGAAUUGCAGGUGUAGCGGUGAAAUGCGUAGAUAUCUGCAGGAACACCCGUGGCGAAAGCGGCGCGCUGGACCACUACUGACGCUGAGGAACGAAAGCUAGGGGAGCAAACAGGAUUGGAUACCCCGGUAGUC